UGAAGCUCAAAGAGGUUAAUGAGUGUUGGAGUCAGGAUUUGAGUCUAUCUCACCUGGCUCCAGGUCCUGCAAGCUUUCUACUAAUCAUCCUGUUUUUCAUAAGAGAAAGGAAGGACAGGACCUCUAUGGAACAUCCAGCACAACACAAAGAAUGGGAAAGUAAUGUUGGGAAGAAAGAAGAGAAACAAAGAAGAGAUGUGUUUACUGAUGGAGUGAAUGAGAUGAUGACGAUGGACAAUACAGACAGUUCUCACUUUUUUAUGGUUGAUAAGUGAACAAAAUGCCAUAGCUGUGAUAUACAAGUGUAACCAGGUACUCAAAAACCAUUUGCAUAAGACUCUCCUUAUUGAUCCAGAUUGGUAAUUCAACGCUUCAGACCUGUGUGAGGGUUGGAGUUGUCAGGAGCUUGGGAGAAGAGACAUCCUGGUCUUCUGGCUUCCAGCUUUAAGAGAUAUAUUUUAUGUUUCCUCCAGGGAGAUCCCUGAAGGGAGAGAAUGACUCUGAGAAGAAGCUGACAUGUUGACAUGACAGCAAUUCAAUCAUGUCCCUAUCCCAUGACAGCCUUCAGGGAAUUUCUCCUUGUCUCUCUCUGUCUCUCUCUUCUCUGUCUCUGUCUCUCUCUUCUCUGUCUCUG